rnacentral:rRNA from 1 species
AACGCGAAGAACCUUACCAAGUCUUGACACCCUUCUGACCGGUACUUAACCGUACCUUCUCUUCGGAGCAGGAGUGACAGGUGGUGCAUGGUUGUCGUCAGCUCGUGUCGUGAGAUGUUGGGUUAAGUCCCGCAACGAGCGCAACCCUUAUCUUUAGUAGCCAGCGGUUCGGCCGGGCACUCUAGGGAGACUGCCAGGGAUAACCUGGAGGAAGGCGGGGAUGACGUCAAAUCAUCAUGCCCCUUAUGACUUGGGCUACACACGUGCUACAAUGGCGUAAACAAAGGGAAGCAAAGCCGUGAGGCCGAGCAAAUCUCAAAAAUAACGUCUCAGUUCGGAUUGUAGUCUGCAACUCGACUACAUGAAGCUGGAAUCGCUAGUAAUCGCAGAUCAGAAUGCUGCGGUGAAUACGUUCCCGGGUCUUGUACACACCGA